rnacentral:misc_RNA from 1 species
AACGCACGAGACCUGCGGACCUGCGGAAGGAUCAUUACUGAGUAACGUGGUCUUUUAGACCCGGUACCCGCCCUUUGUCAUAUGUUGGACGAGGUCGUCUUUAGGGGCGGCCUCCGACCCCACUUCCCGGGAAGCGUUGCGCCUCAUCAGGUCUAGGCCUUUGAUGAGGAUGGGACCGCCCGGGGUCUUUUUCAAACCCUUUGUGAGAAAUCUGAAGUCUGAAGCGAAAGCUUAAAAUAA